rnacentral:lncRNA from 1 species
AUUUGUUUAAUUUUGCUUUUGUUGCCUUUGCUUUUGGUGUCAAAACCAAAAAAUCAUUGCUAAGACCAAUGUCAAGGAGCUUAUCUCCUAUGUUGUUUUCUAGGAGUUUUAUGACUUCAGGUCUUAUGUUCAAGUCUUUAAUCCAUUUUGAAUUAAUUUUUGUGUGUGGUGUAAGAUAGUGGUCCAGUUUCAGAGUUUUGUUUGUUUGUUUUUGUCUUUGCCACCAGAAAGUAAGUUUCUGGAAGGUAACGUGGUCCAAUUUCAUUCUUUUUCAUUUGAAUAUCCAGUUUUCCUAACACUAUUUGUUGAAGAGAUUGUCCUUUUCCCAUUAUAUAUUCUUGGCUUCUUUGUUGAAAAUUAAUUGAUCAUAUAUGCAUAGGUUUAUUUCUGGGCUCUAUUCUCUUCCACUGAUCUAUGUGUCUGUUUUUAUGCCAAAUCCAUACUGUUUUGGUUGCUAUAGCUUUGUAACAUAAUUUGAAAUCAGGAAGUGUGAUGCCUCUAGCUUUGCUUUCUUUCUCAAGUUUGCUUUGGCUAUUUGGAGUCUUUUGAUUUUUUUUUUAAUUCUAUGAAAAAUGCCAUUGGAAUUUUGAUGGGGAUUACAUUGAAUCUCUAGAUUGCUUUGGGUAAUAUGGACAAUUUUACAAUAUUAAUUCAUCCAGUCCAUGAACAUAGAGUAUCUUUCCAUUUGUUUGUGUCUUCUUCAAUUCCUUUUAUCAAUAUUUUAUAGUUUUCAGUGUAGAGAACUUUCACCUCCUGCACUAAAUUUCUAACUAUUUUAUUCUUUUUGAUGCUGUCAGAAGCAGGAUUAUUUUCUCAAUUUCUCUUUCUGAUAGUUCCCUGUUAUUGUAUAGAAAUACACUUGAUUUUUGUAUGUUGACUUUGUAUCCUGAAGCUUUACUGAAUUCAUUUAUUUGUUCCAGCAGUUUUGAUGGAGUCUUUAGAUUUUCCAAUGUAAGAUCAUGUCAUCAAACAGAGACAAUUUUACUUAUUCUUUUCUAAUUUUCAUGCCAUGUAUUUCUUUUUCUUACUUAAUUGCUCUGGCUAGAACUUCUCUACAAUGUUGAAUAUAAGUGGUGAGAGUGGGCAUGAUCUUAGAUGAAAAGCUUUGUCUUGUUUGUCAUGUUCCUGAUCUUGGAGGAAAAGCUUUCAGAUGUUCAUCAUUGAGUAUGAUGUUAGCACUGGGCUUGUCAACUUUUAUUAUUUUGAGGUACAUUGCUUCUACACCCAAUUAGUUGAGAGUUUAAAU